UGGGGAAUAUUGGACAAUGGGCGAAAGCCUGAUCCAGCAAUACCGCGUGUGUGAAGAAGGCCUUCGGGUUGUAAAGCACUUUAGGUCGGAAAGAAAAAACUUUUCCUAAUACGAGAAGUCUUGACGGUACCGACAGAAUAAGCACCGGCUAACUCUGUGCCAGCAGCCGCGGUAAUACAGAGGGUGCAAGCGUUAAUCGGAUUUACUGGGCGUAAAGCGUGCGUAGGUGGCGAUUUAAGUCGGAUGUGAAAGCCCUGGGCUUAACCUGGGAACUGCAUUCGAUACUGGAUUGCUAGAGAUCGGUAGAGGGCAGCGGAAUUCCGGGUGUAGCGGUGAAAUGCGUAGAUAUCCGGAGGAACACCGAUGGCGAAGGCAACUGCCUGGGCCUGAUCUGACACUGAGGCACGAAAGCGUGGGUAGCAAACAG
rnacentral:rRNA from 1 species